rnacentral:lncRNA from 1 species
GGGAAAGCAAUAUUGCCCUUAGGUUUAAGGAAAUCUUUGGUUUGGGGACAGCAAAUCCUUCCAUGAUCUGCCCUUGUAACUAUUUUAAGUUUCAGCUCACAUAACAGCAUCAAAGGACAGAGCCCAGCCCUAGUAUCUUAGACUUGCAGAAAGGAAGGUCAUCCGGAAGAGCAAAACAGGAGUCUCCAGUGCCCGAUCCCUUUGGUCAGAAGGAAUAAGACUGCCAACACAGUUGCUGAGAAGGAGGAUGGAAAACAACUCGCAGAGAUCACACUGGGUGAAUGCCUGAGCAGAGACUGCAGGAUGAAGUUGUGAGAAGGCAAACUUAUGAAGGACACUGGUCAAGAUAUCAGUUUGACCUGAUGCCAUCCCAGCAGCACACCUGGGACUGCUGUCAUCUCGUGAAAGUGAUGAGCUCCCUGAUAUGCACAAGGAGGGCACUCUAACCCAUGAGUUCCAGGAAGAAGAUGAGACACACGUGGGCAGAACCACCCCCAGAGAAGUCUAGCCCAGAUGCUUCAAACCCCAGGUGAAGACUUGUGAGGAACCACAAGUGGUUGUCUUCCUAAGCCACUCGUGUCAGGAUGGUUCAUACCCAGCAGUAGCCAGCUGAUGCUCUCUUCCCCAAAUCACCACAGAUUCCAGGUUCUCCCCUCCUCGGCUUCUUAGAUUUCUUUCUCAUCUAACUUCAU